ACAUGGCUACUGUGCCAUCUGGUGAAUGGCUCGGCUCGAGAGCCGACGACGGACGUGCCAAGCUGCGAAAAGCCCGAGGGAGCCGCACGGAGGCAAAGAACUCGGGAUCUCCGAAUGGGAAUCCCCACCGCAAUUGCUUCGCGCAAUGGGGAACGCCGGGAACUGAAACAUCUUAGUACCGGCAGGAAAAGAACGCAACCGCGAUGACGUUAGUAAUGGCGAAUGAACGCGUCCCAGUCCAAACCGAAGCCCUCACGGGCAAUGUGGUGUUCGGACUGACAUGCACUUUCGGAACCGCGACACGAAGUCUCCUGGAACGGAGCGUGAAACAGGGUGACAACCCCGUAAUGUCGAUCAGUACGAAACGCGUCAGUACCAGAGUAGCGGGGAUUGGACAUUCCUCGUGAACACAGCAGGCAUCAACUGCUAAGACUAAACACUCCUCGAGACCGAUAGCGAACAAGUAGCGUGAGCGAACGCUGCAAAGCACCCCACGAAGGGAAGUGCAAGAGGGCCUGAAUUCAGAUGGCGAUAGAGCGACGUGGCACAAAAGGUCUCACCAAGAACGACCCGUGUGCGAACACGCAGUAGAAUUGGUGAGAAGCCGGUGUUGCGUCGUACGUUUUGAAAAACGACCCAGGGAGUGUAUCUGGAUGACGAGUCUAACCCGUUCCGCGGGGAAGGCGCAGGGAAACCGACAUGGCCGCAGUCUUACGACGAGGGCCGCCGUGUUCAAGCGCGGGGAGUCAUCCGGAUACGACCCGAAACCAGGCGAUCUAGUCGCGAACAAGGUGAAGCGUGGCGAAAGCUGCGUGGAGGCCUGACGCGUUGGUGUUUUACAAUACCCUCGUAUGAUUUACGACUAGGGGUGAAAGGCCCAUCGAGCCUGGCAACAGCUGGUUCCGACCGAAACAUGCCGAAGCAUGAUCUCCACAGAGAUCGCAGGCGCGGUAGAGCUACCGAUUGGACGACCCGCCCUCGAGAGAGGUCGGCCGUGCUGUCGAACUCCAAACGUGCUUGCAUCAUGGACGUGGGGAGUCCGGUCUGCGGGGUAAGCCUGUAGACCGUGAGGGAGACAACCCAGAGUCGGGUUAAGGACCCAAAGUGUGGACUAAGUGCGAUCGAAGGUAGUCUCGAGCCCUAAACAGCCGGGAGGUGAGCUUAGAAGCAGCUACCCUCUAAGAAAAGCGUAACAGCUUACCGGCCGAGGUUCGAGGCGCCGAAAAUGAUCGGGGCUCAAGUCCACCUCCGAGACCUGACCGCACCCAUCACAUGGGUGAUCGCGUAGGUCGGCGCAGCACGCGGGUGGAAGCACGGGUGAGAACUCGUGUGGACCGCGUGGUGACGACAAUCCUGGUCACAGUAGCAGCGAAAGUCGGGUGAGAACCCCGACGGCCUCAAGGGUAAGGGUUCCUCGGCACUGUCAUUCAGCCGAGGGUUAGUCGAUCCUAAGGUCAGUCGUAAGUCGAACUGAUCGAAGAGGGAAACUGGUUAAUAUUCCAGUACCAUCACACGGUAAAAGUCGACGCUUCAGAGACCAUCGAACCGGGCUUUCGCCCGGUCAAAUCGAGGAAGAUCGUGGACGCCGUAACGGCAGGAAGCGAUUGAAGCUCGAGAUAGCGCAAGUCGAUGUUAUCCGGAGCCCGUGAAAAGACGAGUGUGAUGACCGUACCGAGAACCGACACAGGUGCCCACCCGGAGAAAGGGAAGGCCUGUCGGGAGCAACCGACGUUAGGGAAUUCGGCAAUAUUAGUCCCGUACGUUCGCAAUAAGGGAUGCCUGCCUUUGACGAGGCAGGUCGCAGUGACUUGGGCGCUCCGACUGUCUAGUAACAACACAGGUGACCGCAAAUCCGCAAGGACUCGUACGGUCACUGAAUCCUGCCCAGUGCGGGUAUCUGAACACCUGGUACAACAGGACGAAGGACCCGUCAACGGCGGGGGUAACUAUGACCCUCUUAAGGUAGCGUAGUACCUUGCCGCUUCAGUAGCGGCUUGCAUGAAUGGAUGAACGAGAGCGCCGCUGUCCCAACGUUGGGCCCGGUGAACUGCACAUUCCAGUGCGGAGUCUGGAGACCCCCAAGGGGAAGCGAAGACCCUAUAGAGCUUUACUGCAGGCUGUCGCUGGGACGUGGUCGCCGAUGUGCAGCAUAGGUAGGAGUCGUUACACAGGUACGUGCGCCAGCACGCCACCGAGACGCCAGUGAAAUACUACCCGUCGGUGACUGCGACCCUCACUCCUGCCGGAGGACACCGGUAGCCGGGCAGUUUGACUGGGGCGGUACGCGCUUGAAAAGAUAUCGAGCGCGCCCGAAGAUCACCUCAUCCGGGUCGGGAAUCCGGAGACGAGCGCAAGAGCAAACGGUGGUCUGACAGUGUUCUUCCCAACGAGGAACGCUGACGCGAAAGCGUGGUCUAGCGAACCACCGAGGCUUCUCGAUGAGGCCCGGUGCUGACAGAAAAGCUACCUUAGGGAUAACAGAGUCGUCACUCGCAAGAGCACAUAUCGACCGAGUGGCUUGCUACCUCGAUGUCGGUUCCCUCCAUCCUGCCCGUGCAGAAGCGGGCAAGGGUGAG
rnacentral:rRNA from 1 species